ACAGGGGUGCUUAUGCAAAUCAUAGGCUGAGAUUAUACCCUAGACCUGAUUCGGAUAAUGCCGACGUAGGGAGUAUGCUUAU
rnacentral:ncRNA from 1 species